GACGAACGCUGGCGGCGUGCUUAACACAUGCAAGUCGAGCGGUAAGGCCUUUCGGGGUACACGAGCGGCUAACGGGUGAGUAACACGUGGGUGAUCUGCCCUGCACUUCGGGAUAAGCCCGGGAAACUGGGUCUAAUACCGGAUAUGACACAUCUUCGCAUGGAGUGUGUGUGGAAAGUUUUUCGGCGGGGGAUGGACUCGCGGUCUAUCAGCUUGUUGGUGGGGGGAUGGCCUACCAAGGCGACGACGGAUAGCCGGCCUGAGAGGGUGACCGGCCACACGGGGACUGAGACACGGCCCAGACUCCUACGGGAGGCAGCAGUGGGGAAUAUUGCGCAAUGGGCGGAAGCCUGACGCAGCGACGCCGCGUGGGGGAUGAAGGCCUUCGGGUUGUAAACCUCUUUCACCACCGACGAAGCUUAUGUGACGGUAGGUGGGGAAGAAGCGCCGGCUAACUACGUGCCAGCCGCCGCGGUAA
rnacentral:rRNA from 1 species